rnacentral:rRNA from 1 species
GCGUAAGCGCACGCAGGCGGUCUGUCAAGUCGGAUGUGAAAUCCCCGGGCUCAACCUGGGAACUGCAUUCGAAACUGGCAGGCUAGAGUCUUGUAGAGGGGGGUAGAAUUCCAGGUGUAGCGGUGAAAUGCGUAGAGAUCUGGAGGAAUACCGGUGGCGAAGGCGGCCCCCUGGACAAAGACUGACGCUCAGGUGCGAAAGCGUGGGGAGCAAACAGGAUUAGAUACCCUGGUAGUCCACGCCGUAAACGAUGUCGACUUGGAGGUUGUGCCCUUGAGGCGUGGCUUCCGGAGCUAACGCGUUAAGUCGACCGCCUGGGGAGUACGGCCGCAAGGUUAAAACUCAAAUGAAUUGACGGGGGCCCGCACAAGCGGUGGAGCAUGUGGUUUAAUUCGAUGCAACGCGAAGAACCUUACCUACUCUUGACAUCCAGAGAACUUUCCAGAGAUGGAUUGGUGCCUUCGGGAACUCUGAGACAGGUGCUGCAUGGCUGUCGUCAGCUCGUGUUGUGAAAUGUUGGGUUAAGUCCCGCAACGAGCGCAACCCUUAUCCUUUGUUGCCAGCGGUCAGGCCGGGAACUCAAAGGAGACUGCCAGUGAUAAACUGGAGGAAGGUGGGGAUGACGUCAAGUCAUC